AGAGAAACUAGGAAGACAAUUGUUUCAUUCGUAACUCGAGGAAACUUGAUCGAAAUUAAUCAGGAACUGGAUUGUUUCGCUGAAAUAAAUAAUAGAGUUCGAUGGACAGUUUAUUCCGGUCAGACUCAGAAGUGCAACAGAACUGUCUGUGAUUUUAAUAAAGCACGUACCAGAUGUAUUAGUGGA